rnacentral:rRNA from 1 species
AUUGAACGCUGGCGGCAUGCCUUACACAUGCAAGUCGAACGGUAACGCGGGGCAACCUGGCGACGAGUGGCGAACGGGUGAGUAAUAUAUCGGAACGUGCCCAGUAGUGGGGGAUAGCCCGGCGAAAGCCGGAUUAAUACCGCAUGAGACCUGAGGGUGAAAGCGGGGGAUCGCAAGACCUCGCGCUAUUGGAGCGGCCGAUAUCAGAUUAGGUAGUUGGUGGGGUAAAGGCCUACCAAGCCGACGAUCUGUAGCUGGUCUGAGAGGACGACCAGCCACACUGGGACUGAGACACGGCCCAGACUCCUACGGGAGGCAGCAGUGGGGGAAUUUUGGACAAUGGGCGCAAGCCUGAUCCAGCCAUGCCGCGUGCGGGAAGAAGGCCUCGGUUGUAA